rnacentral:rRNA from 1 species
GGAAUCUUCCGCAAUGGACGAAAGUCUGACGGAGCAACGCCGCGUGAGUGAUGAAGGCUUUCGGGUCGUAAAACUCUGUUGUUAGGGAAGAACAAGUACGAGAGUAACUGCUCGUACCUUGACGGUACCUAACCAGAAAGCCACGGCUAACUACGUGCCAGCAGCCGCGGUAAUACGUAGGUGGCAAGCGUUAUCCGGAAUUAUUGGGCGUAAAGCGCGCGCAGGCGGUUUCUUAAGUCUGAUGUGAAAGCCCACGGCUCAACCGUGGAGGGUCAUUGGAAACUGGGGAACUUGAGUGCAGAAGAGAAAAGCGGAAUUCCACGUGUAGCGGUGAAAUGCGUAGAGAUGUGGAGGAACACCAGUGGCGAAGGCGGCUUUUUGGUCUGUAACUGACGCUGAGGCGCGAAAGCGUGGGGAGCAAACA